AAGCGACAGAUAACAGGAUGCA
rnacentral:siRNA from 1 species